AUGAGAAGGACACCGAGUCAGCGGAGAAAUGUUUCUCCCUGUCCUCUGAUCACAGCGCAGCCUGUCAGACCAGAAGGCUCCCGCCACACGGAAUGUGGGUGUUCCCACCAUGGGGUCAAGAGGAUGUAACUGAGAUGCAUGGGGUAGGAAGUUUUGCCUGUUUCGUUCACUGCUUUAUCUUCAGUACCUAGAACAGUGCCUGGUGUGAGGGGCUGGGGAGGAGUGACCCAUCUGGAGAAGACGCUGGGGCAGCAGGCACUCACCGUUCGGACAGCGAGGCCAUGCCGGCCAGGAAGGUGUGCCGGUCGGUUUCGGCCAGCCGCUCUUGCAGGAUCUGCG